UACGUAGGGACCAAGCGUUGUUCGGAUUUACUGGGCGUAAAGGGCGCGUAGGCGGCGUGUUAAGUCACUUGUGAAAUCUCUAAGCUUAACUUAGAACGGUCAAGUGAUACUGACGUGCUAGAGUGCAGAAGGGGCAACCGGAAUUCUUGGUGUAGCGGUGAAAUGCGCAGAUAAUCAGGAGGAACACCGGUGGCGAAGGCGGUUCUCUGGGCAUUACCUGACGCUGAGGAGCGAAAGCGUGGGAGCAAACAGG
rnacentral:rRNA from 1 species